GACGAAGGGGGCUAGCGUUGUUCGGAAUUACUGGGCGUAAAGCGCACGUAGGCGGCUUUGUAAGUUAGAGGUGAAAGCCCGGGGCUCAACUCCGGAAUUGCCUUUAAGACUGCAUCGCUAGAACGUCGGAGAGGUAAGUGGAAUUCCGAGUGUAGAGGUGAAAUUCGUAGAUAUUCGGAAGAACACCAGUGGCGAAGGCGACUUACUGGACGACCGUUGACGCUGAGGUGCGAAAGCGUGGGGAGCAAACAGG
rnacentral:rRNA from 1 species